rnacentral:rRNA from 1 species
UGGGGAAUUUUGCGCAAUGGGGGAAACCCUGACGCAGCAACGCCGCGUGAGUGAUGAAGGCCCUUGGGUCGUAAAGCUCUGUCAGUGGGAAAGAAUUGUAUCGUGUUAAUAGCAUGAUAUUUGACGGUACCCACAAAGGAAGCACCGGCUAACUCCGUGCCAGCAGCCGCGGUAAUACGGAGGGUGCAAGCGUUGUUCGGAUUUAUUGGGCGUAAAGGGCGUGUAGGCGGUCUGUUAAGUCUGAUGUGAAAGCCCCGGGCUCAACCCGGGAAGUGCAUUGGAAACUGGCAGACUUGAGUACGGGAGAGGGCAGUGGAAUUCCCAGUGUAGGAGUGAAAUCCGUAGAUAUUGGGAGGAACACCGGUGGCGAAGGCGGCUGCCUGGACCGAUACUGACGCUGAGACGCGAAAGCGUGGGGAGCAAACAGG